rnacentral:lncRNA from 1 species
AGUUGUGCUGCGGGCAUGCGCACUGGGCGUCCCCACGCCACCGCCCAUCAGCUGAGAAUUGCAGCUGAGGGCUCCGGGGAGUUGGUGGUGACCCCGCCCAGUUGGCCCAGAGGAUCUCUUCUAACAUCCAGAAGAUCACACAGUGUUCUGUGGAAAUACAAAGAACUCUGAAUCAACUUGGAACACCUCAAGAUUCACCUGAAUUGAGGCAACAGUUGCAACAGAAGCAGCAGUAUACUAACCAGCUUGCCAAAGAAACAGAUAAGUACAUUAAAGAGUUUGGAUCUCUGCCCACCACCCCCAGUGAACAGCGUCAAAGGAAAAUACAGAAGGAUCGCUUAGUGGCAGAGUUCACAACAUCACUGACAAACUUCCAGAAGGUCCAGAGGCAGGCUGCUGAGCGAGAGAAAGAGUUUGUUGCUCGAGUAAGAGCCAGUUCCAGAGUGUCUGGCAGUUUUCCUGAGGACAGCUCAAAAGAAAGGAAUCUUGUAUCCUGGGAAAGCCAAACUCAACCUCAAGUGCAGGUGCAGGAUGAAGAAAUUACAGAGGAUGACCU